AUGAUCAUGAUACCUCAUCACACAGACAACCACUACACGCUAUAUGUAAUGAACAAGUACAGAGAUAGCAUCGACAUCCUUGACUCACUGAACUAUGUAAACUACACCGAUUUGUCUUGGAGUAAACACCAUGUGCAUCGAGCAGAACUGAUGAGAAGGAUAUCGGUGCUGAUGAACAAGUACCACCAACUAAAACACAAGAACGAACCAAACUGGGCAAGGAUAGCAGAAAGGCUUCACAGGGUCUGCACACCAAAGCAAGAAGGAACACAAUGCGGACACUUCACGGCCCAAUUUGCGAAACACUGGAAUGGGAAAGAACUGGUCAAGGACAGAGAGGAUUUUCAUCCCAGCAAGGUGGAUGCCUAA
rnacentral:rRNA from 1 species